CACGUCACCCCCACAUCUCUGUGAGGUUCCGUACAUGUCAAGGGUAGGUAAGGUUUUUCGCGUUGUGUCGAAUUGAACCACAUCAUCCACCGCUUGUGCGGGCCCCCGUCAAUUCCUUUGAGUUUUAAUCUUGCGACCGUACUCCCCAGGCGGAUGACUUCUCGCGUUAGCUGCGUUACUAAAGGAUUUAACUCCUCCAACAACUAGUCAUCAUCGUUUAGGGCGUGGACUAC
rnacentral:misc_RNA from 1 species